AAGCCUGCCGAAUGCAAUCAAACUCCGAAUGCCGGGGAGAGCAGCGAGGGAGUGAGACUACGGGGGAUAAGCUCCGUGGUCGAAAGGGAAAGAACCCAGACCGCCAGCUAAGGUCCCGGACAGCAGGCUAAGUGGGAAAGGACGUGUGACCGCUAAAACAGCCAGGAGGUUGGCUUAGAAGCAGCCAUCCUUUAAAGAAAGCGUAAUAGCUCACUGGUCGAGCGGUCGCGCACCGACAAUCCAACGGGGCUCAAGCCUGCGACCGAAGCUGCGGAUCCCGCCGCAAGACGGGAUGGUAGGGGAGCAUUCUGUGGUGCUCGAAGGUGGACCGAGAGGAUCACUGGACGCCACGGAAGAGACUCUGCCGGCAUAAGUAGCGAUAAACACGAUGAGAACUCGUGUCGCCGAAAGUCUAAGGUUUCCUGAGGAAGGUUAAUCCGCUCAGGGUUAGGCGGGUCCUAAGGUGAGGCCGAAAGGCGUAGCUGAUGGACAGCAGGUCAACAUUCCUGCCCCACCUGACGGACGUUACGACGAAGGGGCGACGCAGGAGGAUAAGGGAGUCGGGCGAUGGAAAUCCCGAUGGGUCUGUGUAAGCCGGAUCCCGCAGGUAAAUCCACGGGGUCAUUAACGGUGAGACAGGCUCCGAGGCCAUAGGCCGCAAAGUCUCUGAUUCCACUCUGCCAGGAAAACCCCCUAAGCAGUCCGUUAGGUGCCCGUACCUCAAACCGACACAGGUAGGCGAGGAUGAAUAUCCACAGGCGCUCGAGAGAACGCUCGCUCAGGAACUAGGCAAAUUAACCCCGUAACCUCGGGAGAAGGGGUGCCCCACUAGGGUUUAUAGCCCGAAGGGGUCGCAGUGAAAGGCGCGCUACGACUGUUUAACAAAAACACAUCUCUCUGCGAAGUCGAACACGACGUAUAGGGGGUGACGCCUGCCCGGUGCCGGAAGGUUAAAGGGAGGGCUCAGUCUGGAGUAAUCUGGACAAAGGUCUGAUCUGAAGCCCCGGUGAACGGCGGCCGUAACUAUAACGGUCCUAAGGUAGCGAAAUUCCUUGUCGGGUAAGUUCCGACCUGCACGAAUGGCGUAACGAUAGCGCGACUGUCUUGGCGAACGGCUCGGCGAAUUUGUGGUUCCGGUGAAGACGCCGGAUGCCCGCAUCUAGACGGAAAGACCCCGUGCACCUUAACUGCACCCUGGUCAUGAGUAACGGAACGGUCUGCGUAGCAUAGGUGGGAGCCUGGGAACCACGGCUUUUGGGCUGUGGGGAGGCAACAGUGAAAUACCACCCUGAUCGUUCUGUCGCUCUAACCUACGACCCGAAACGGGUCGGGGAACAUGGCCAGGCGGGUAGUUUGACUGGGGCGGUCGCCUCCUAAAAGGUAACGGAGGCGCCCAAAGCUUGGCUCAGGCGGUUUGGAAAUCCGCCGUGGAGUGCAAGGGCACAAGCCAGGUUGACUGCGAGACUGACAAGUCAAGCAGGAGCGAAAGCUGGGCCUAGUGAUCCGGUGGUCCCGCGUGGAAGGGCCAUCGCUCAACGGAUAAAAGGUACGCCGGGGAUAACAGGCUGAUCGGAGCCAAGAGUUCACAUCGACGCUCCGGUUUGGCACCUCGAUGUCGGCUCAUCGCAUCCUGGAGCUGUAGAAGGUUCCAAGGGUUGGGCUGUUCGCCCAUUAAAGCGGUACGUGAGCUGGGUUCAGAACGUCGCGAGACAGUUCGGUCCCUAUCUGGUGUGGGCGCAGGAGAUUUGAGGGGGGUUGUCCUUAGUACGAGAGGACCGGGAUGAACAGACCUCUUGUGUACCAGCUGUCUAAACCAUGGCACGGCUGGGUAGCGAAGUCUGGAAGCGAUAAAUGCUGAAAGCAUCUAAGCGUGAAGCGCGCCCCAAGAUCAUAUCUCCCAAGGAUGAAAGGCGGUUUCGCUAACCGUCGAGAUUCCUCUGAAGGGCCGCGGAAGACUACCGCGUAUAUAGGUCGGACGUGGACGCAGGGUAACCUGUGGAGCUUACCGAUCCUAAUGCCCAUUCGGCUUGACC
rnacentral:rRNA from 1 species